rnacentral:rRNA from 1 species
UACGGGGGGGGCAAGCGUUGUUCGGAAUUACUGGGCGUAAAGGGCUCGUAGGCGGCCAACUAAGUCCGACGUGAAAUCCCCAGGCUUAACCUGGGAACUGCGUCGGAUACUGGAUGGCUUGAAUCCGGGAGAGGGAUGCGGAAUUCCAGGUGUAGCGGUGAAAUGCGUAGAUAUCUGGAGGAACACCGGUGGCGAAGGCGGCGAUCC